rnacentral:rRNA from 1 species
AGAGUUUGAUCAUGGCUCAGGAUGAAUGCUAGCGGCGUGGAUAAGGCAUGCAAGUCGAGUGGGUUUAGACCCACGGCAGACGAGGUAGUAAUACACAGGUACUCACCGAAAAGUCGGGGAUAUACCGCCGAAAGGGGAGCAGUACUCGAUAGUCCCUCCGGGGUAAAGGAGCAAUCCGCUUUUUGAGAGGCCUGUGGCGCAUCAGGUAGUUGGUAGGGUAAUGGCCUACCAAGCCGACGACGCGUAGGGGAGCUGAGAGGCUGACCCCCACCGAUGGAACUGAGACACGGUCCAUACACCUACGGGUGGCUGCAGUCGAGAAUAUUUGGCAAUGGGCGCAAGCCUGACUAUGCGACGCCGCGUGGUUGAUGAAGUCCUUCGGGACGUAAAGACCUUUUAUGAGGGAGGAAGUAAUUGACGUUACCUCAUGAAUAAGGGGCUCCUAACUCUGUGCCAGCAGGAGCGGUAAUACAGAGGCCCCAAGCAUUAUCCGGAAUCACUGGGCGUAAAGGGUGUGCAGGCGGUCGUGUUAGUCCUUCGUGAAAGCUCUCGGACUCAAUCCGGGAAACGCGGUGGAAACGGCACGACUUAGAGGACGCGAGAGGUACAGGGAACUCAUGGUGUAGGGGUGAAAUCCGUUGAUAUCAUGGGGAACACCAAAUGCGAAGGCACUGUACUGGCGCGCUCCUGACGCUGAGACACGAAAGCGUGGGAAUCGAAUGGGAUUAGAUACCCUAGUAGUCC